rnacentral:rRNA from 1 species
GACGAACGCUGGCGGCGUGCCUAAUACAUGCAAGUCGAACGAGAGCGACCGGUGCUUGCACUGGUCAAUCUAGUGGCGCACGGGUGAGUAACACGUGGGUAACCUGCCCAUCAGAGGGGGAUAACAUCCGGAAACGGAUGCUAAAACCGCAUAGGUCUUCGAGCCGCAUGGCUUGAAGAGGAAAAGAGGCGCAAGCUUCUGCUGAUGGAUGGACCCGCGGUGCAUUAGCUAGUUGGUGAGGUAACGGCUCACCAAGGCCGUGAUGCAUAGCCGACCUGAGAGGGUGAUCGGCCACAUUGGGACUGAGACACGGCCCAAACUCCUACGGGAGGCAGCAGUAGGGAAUCUUCCGCAAUGGACGCAAGUCUGACGGAGCAACGCCGCGUGAGUGAAGAAGGUGUUCGGAUCGUAAAACUCUGUUGUUAGAGAAGAACAAGUGCUAGAGUAACUGUUAGCGCCUUGACGGUAUCUAACCAGAAAGCCACGGCUAACUACGUG